rnacentral:rRNA from 1 species
UUUGGUGACUAUAGCCUGGGUGAUACACCUCUUCCCAUUCCGAACAGAGAAGUUAAGACCCAGUACGCCGAUGGUACUGCAUGCGCAGGUGUGUGGGAGAGUAGGUAGUCGCCAAUU